AGUGAACGCUGGCGGUAUGCCUAACACAUGCAAGUCGAACGGCAGCACAGUAAGAGCGUGCUCUUACGGGUUGCCAGUGGCGGACGGGUGAGGAAUACAUCGGAAUCUACUUUUUCGUGGGGGUUCACGUAGGGAAACUUACGCUAAUACCGCAUACGCCCUACGGGUGAAAGCAUGGGAUCUUCGGACCUUGCGCGAUUGAAUGAGCCGAUGUGGUGUUAGCUGGUUGGCGGGGUAAAGGCCCAGCAAGGCGACGAUCCGUAGCUGGUCUGAGUGGAUGGUCAGCCACACUGGAGCUGGGACACGGUCAAGAGUCCUACGGGAGGCAGCAGUGGGGAACAUUGGGCAAUGGGCGGAAACCUGGUCCAGCCAUCCCGCGUGGGUGAAGACAGCCUUCCGGUUGUAAAGCCCUUUUGUUGGGAAAGAACAGCAUCAGCUUAAUACGACGCUGUUCUGACGGUACCCAAUAAAUAAGCACCGGCUAACUUCGUG
rnacentral:rRNA from 1 species